AGCGUUUAUUAUAGUUGGUCUGAACUACUGAAAAAGGCUUUGGAAUAUAACCACAUAAAAUUUUGCCUUGAUUUUAAUCCAAGUUGUAUUUUCAAUAUGCAUAUUUUCGAAUUUGUUUUACCUUGUAUUAAAUUAAAUUAAAAUGUCAGCUGUAAAUGGAUUUAAAGGUGAGUUUCGUGGUAAAUGCUAAAUGCGUCCGCCGGAGGCCACGCA